GAGAGAGAGAGAGAGAGAGAGAGUGAAGAGAGUGAGAUAGAGCGAGAGAGAGAGAGGGAGAGAGAGAGAGGGAGAGAGAGAGAGAGGGUUACUCGGGAAAACAAAGCAGAGGGAUUGGCCAGCAGAGUCUCCCAUCAGUGCAAAGAAGGUGCCUGCACCUCUGAGAAUAAAGGAUUGGGAAGGCUCCGGUAGAAGGUCGAGAAGAACAUCGGUGCCUGCUCAGAAACUACAGGAGCACCACAUCAUGGCUGUCCCACUCAUGCCCGAAUCGGCUGUUUGUCUGCUAAUGUGGGAAGAAUGAAUCAUGGGUGCAUUCUGCCAUGCUUGCAACACAUGCAUAAAGGG
ensembl:lncRNA